CCAAUAGCGUAUAUUAAAGUUGUUGUGGUUAAAAAGCUCGUAGUUGAACCUUGGGCCUGGCUGGCCGGUCCGCCUCACCGCGUGCACUGGUCCGGCCGGGCCUUUCCCUCUGUGGAACCCCAUGCCCUUCACUGGGUGUGGCGGGGAAACAGGACUUUUACUUUGAAAAAAUUAGAGUGCUCCAGGCAGGCCUAUGCUCGAAUACAUUAGCAUGGAAUAAUGAAAUAGGACGUGCGGUUCUAUUUUGUUGGUUUCUAGGACCGCCGUAAUGAUUAAUAGGGACAGUCGGGGGCAUCAGUAUUCAAUUGUCAGAGGUGAAAUUCUUGGAUUUAUUGAAGACUAACUACUGCGAAAGCAUUUGCCAAGGAUGUUUUCAUUAAUCAGGAACGAAAGUUAGGGGAUCGAAGACGAUCAGAUACCGUCGUAGUCUUAACCAUAAACUAUGCCGACUAGGGAUCGGACGAUGUUAUUUUUUGACUCGUUCGGCACCUUACG
rnacentral:rRNA from 1 species